CGUUAAAUUUUGAAAAUCAACGAAAAAGGCCAAGAAGUCCACUUGAGCACUGAGGUUUGCGCGCGAAUUUCAAACUGCAUCCAGUACUUGCGUGGUGCAUACUUGCGGUGCUGAGAAUGAGUACUCCGGCAAAUUGCAAUGAGUAUUGUUAAUGGACUUCCACACGGCGACCAUAGUGGUCCGCUGGAGCAGCUGGCUCUGGUUUGGGUCGUAGCCAUUGGCCAGUUACCUUUUACUGCCUGGAGAGGACGCUAGAUUUCCUGCUGAUGGUUACUUCCGACCAAUGUAAUAAUACAUUGAACCGCACCACAGUACAGGUCAUAAAUCUUCGGCUUGAUCUUAUUGCGUCAGUCGCGCAAAUGCGUUUAUUAUGUAUGAAAGUUUCGCGUUAUGCUUGCGGCGUCUCGAAUUCGUCAGUUCAACCGAGUUUACCUUCAUUUUUUACGAUUCCGUAUUAAAUGUCUCAACUCACAGAACUGUUGGUAAUUAACAGAUUUUUUCGAAAGUGUUGACGUUAUAAAGAUUAAUUAGAUGUGUA